GAUCAAAGUCUUCAGCACGUGAAUUACGAAGAAUUUUUUCACUUAUUGCAACACAUAUGUUAUAUUCUGAAGCGAGACCAAUGAAGCGGGCUAUUCCCUGGAGAAUAUAGAGCGACCGUUGAGACGUACUUCCAUCCGAGCUGAUGUACCACUUCAACCAUCGCCUGCGCUUGAAAAUUAUCCGGUGGUACAACUCUGCUGAAGUAUUCAAAACGACUUUUGUCCGAGAGCUCUGUGCUCGUCGAUGCGUAGCUCAAUUGUGGGAUCUGUCAAAAGGAAUCGCCGAGUAGAUACAUUAGAGUACUAAAAAUAAAGUAAAAAUACGAAAAAUAUAAAAAAGCUGCUGUAACUAGCUGUAGAACUAGAACUAGAGCUAGAGCUGAGCUAAAAUUUUUUUUUCAAAUUAUAUAAUUCUAUGUAUAUCUUUUCUACCUUGAAGAGCCUCAAUAUGUUAGCAACCAUUAUUGAAACGACACUGAAUGAUGCUCCGAUAACUCCAGUGACAGAUUUAUGAGGCACAUAAAGCGGUGCCUUACCAUCUUCGCAUUUAUACUCGGUCAUAUCCUUAAAAAAAUCAAUGAAAUACCUGAUUCAUGUAUGACCGCACAAAUUCCAUACUUUGAUCUAAAGCAUAUGUAUCACUACUACAUGAAUCGAGAAUAAGUGCUCCAAGGGUGGUAUUUGGUAA